AUUGAACGCUGGCGGCAGGCCUAACACAUGCAAGUCGAGCGGUGCGGCGGACGGGUGAGUAAUGCCUAGGAAUCUGCCUGGUCGUGGGGGAUCUCGUCCGUAACCGGUCGCUAAUACCGCAUACUAUCAGCUGAGCCUAGGUCGGAUUAGCUAGUUGGUGGGGUACAGGCCUACCAAGGCGACGCUCCGUAACUGGUCUGAGAGGAGGAUCAGUCACACUGGAACUGAGACACGGUCCAGACUCCUACGGGAGGCAGCAGUGGAGAAUAUUGCACAAGGGGCGCAGGCCUGAUGCAGCCAUGCCGCGUGUAUGAAGAAGGCCUGCGUGUUGUAGAGUACUUUCAGCGGGGAGGAGGUACCAGCAGAAGAAGCACCGGCUAACUCCGUGCCAGCAGCCGCGGUAAUUC
rnacentral:rRNA from 1 species